UGGUUCUUCUAACAGUUGGAUCAAUUGCAGUUCUCUCCCCUCAUUCACCUCAAUUUCUCUCCUAUCUUCGUUGCUAUUUCCCCAAUCAUCUCCUCCAAACCCAAAAAUUUCCUCCACUUCCCUCACCAAACCUGCAGCUCUCCCCACCAUCUCCACCUCUUGAAGUGAAGGAAGUCGUCGAAGGAGCUUCAGCAACUCCUGAUAUCAAUUGCAGAAAACAAAAACGCUGAAUUCAUAAGUUGAGCGGGGGCUUUAGGGCAGGACAGUCUCCCUUUUAUCCACUUCUCUUCUCCUCCACAUCGGGCCAAAAAUUGCUUUUUUCCUCCUCCAGCUCCCCUAAGGGUACGAGGCCUGAGCUGAGGUCUUCUAGAGGUCCAACCUAUGCAUCAUUCACUACCCAUUUACCCUUUUCAGCCAACGGAAGUUUGCUGCCCACUUCAGUUACUUCAAUCGAACCUUCCCUCAGGUCCAUUCCGCUCUUUUUCAGUCCAACUUCCAUCUUAUCCCCGUCAACACGACAACAACAUUGUUGUUUCCACUACACCCAAAAUGACUACAUUUCGCUCCCUCCUGGGAGAUACCUUUUUGAAUUUGAAAAAACUCAGGUCCAGCAAUGGGUUCGAAUCUCCUCUCCUCCACCCGAUUUGUAGCUCUCUCUGCUUGCUUUAGGGCUUUGGCAAACGAAAUGCAUUCCAUUGGCUCCAGUUGCACCCCCAACUCCAUGCUGCAUCCCGGACAUCUAACCUUUGAUGGCAUUAUAUUGUGGUGGAUAACCAGUCUUUUUUCAACUAGAUCAUUCUUUUUCGUAGCCCAUUCUAGAGGCACCAACUUGACACCAAACACCUCAUGAAUCACCUCCAUCAUCUGCCACCAUCCAUCGGCCUUGUAUCCCUUUGGUAGAAAAAUCCUAUUAAUCCUCCCCCUUGGUCCCUCCUUCCCUUCGGAAAACACCAAAAAAUGCCCUCGUCUGUUACUACUCAAUGCCUUCCACCACGUCCUCUAGCUAUUGCUCUGACUCCUCUCCCAUGCCACCUCCCCUUUCACCCAUUUGAACUCCCUGAAUCAUUUCAUCAACCACUUCAACUCCUCCUUCUGAAAGAAGAUUGAUUUCCGAAAACCCUUACCCUUCUCAAAAAUCCUUAUCCCCUUUCCGUCCCCUACAACGUCAAAAGAUUUUUGCUCAACAAACAAGAAUCUCCUUAGCCCCACGACCAUGACCCAACCUUUGGAGUGGUGACGAUGGAAAACCACAACGCGAAGACGCUCACUCUCUCUAGACGCGACUCUAUGUUGUGAAAAUAAAGUACGAGAAAUUCAAGGAUUAUUGGUUUCAGAACUUGAGAUUUUUGUUAAGCGGUCGUCCACUAUAUUCUAACAUUGAUAUGAGGAAUCUAACUGAUAUUUUUCUCCUAUAUAUAUAUAUAUGUAUCUAAUAACUAAGAUAUAGGAACUGAAUGAAAAUAGAAUGUGUUUAGACCACAUGCAAGCCAGAGUAUGGAAUUUUGUAUUAGUCAUGAAAGGAGAAAAGGCUAAAUUCCAUGCCAUUUCCCUUUAAUUUCAUAACAUUUAGCUAUCUACCUGUUGCUCUCUAAUUUCAGGUGGCAGUGGCUCGUAGCUUCUGCAAAAGCAUUGAUGUUUAUGAUCAAGAUAUCCACCUCCGUGCCUUACGUACGCUCUCCUAUCCAUCUUCAUUGAACUUCAUACAGACUUUAGGCCAUGGGAAUGGAAGUUCCGUGCUGGCUGUUGCUGAGGGCUGUCAGCUGACUAUAUGGGACUUGAGAGUGAGAGAAAACGGUGGUUGCAUUCAGCGAAUUUGUGGUUCAGUUGGUGAUAUUAUCUAUUCAGUCUGCAGUUCUUUCACUGGUAAUAUUGCUGUAGGAGGAGCUGAUCGUACAGUAACAAUUUAUGAUCCUCGCAGAUGGUCAGCGCUGUCAAGGUGGAUAAACUGUUCAAAAUAUGAGGUUGGUUUGAGUUUUCAAUGGUGGUUUCCUCUAUAUCAAACUGUAUGUUCAUGCUUAUUUUGUUGUUCAUUUGGUGCUUCAUAUUCAACUCUUUGUACAAUGAAAAGGACCCUUUGGAUCUCACCAUAGUUCUGCUGUUUCUUCAAAUACGCCGUUCUCCAUUAGCUCCUUGAGCACUAUCAUGCAGAAUUAGUUAACGAACUCAUGGUUGGAAAGUAUCUUUCUUCACUAAAUUAGAUUUGAACCAUGGAACCAAGCGAACCUGAUGAGCUUUUGGCUGAUAACAAAUAUUUGCUUGAAUCUGA